UGGGGAAUAUUGCACAAUGGGGGAAACCCUGAUGCAGCGACGCCGCGUGAGUGAAGAAGUAUUUCGGUAUGUAAAGCUCUAUCAGCAGGGAAGAAAAUGACGGUACCUGACUAAGAAGCCCCGGCUAACUACGUGCCAGCAGCCGCGGUAAUACGUAGGGGGCAAGCGUUAUCCGGAUUUACUGGGUGUAAAGGGAGCGUAGGCGGCAAGGUAAGCCAGAAGUGAAAGCCCGCGGCUCAACUGCGGGACUGCUUUUGGAACUAUCUAGCUAGAUUGCAGGAGAGGUAAGUGGAAUUCCUAGUGUAGCGGUGAAAUGCGUAGAUAUUAGGAGGAACACCAGUGGCGAAGGCGGCUUACUGGACUGUAAAUGACGCUGAGGCUCGAAAGCGUGGGGAGCAAACAGG
rnacentral:rRNA from 1 species